AACAGCAGAGACCAUAGCUUCCAUCCGGCGACCACGAUCCGAGCUCAAGACGGAAGCGUACUCCGUACGAACGGGCGGAGGCAGCUACCACAGUUCCUUCUUCUAUCGCUCACGAACCAUCGGACAGAGACGGUGUUUGGACGGCGGCAGAACCAUCAAAAGGCUUUGAUAAAUAUGUACAACACAUGUGGUGUUUUGUAACGAGGAGAUAGGCAGACCAAAUGUGGAAGAUGGGGAAUUUCUUUAGCAAAGGGGGAUUAAGAAGUUUUGCAAAGAGAAAUUGAAGAGGACUAAAGCCUCUGGUGUUCCAUUUGUCCCAAAGUUCUUUUGAUGUGUGGUGGAAUUACAUAGAAAGUUUAAUUUUUUUAAAAGGUCAAAGAUAUAGAGUAUGUAUUCGAAAGUUUUCACUAAAAUCGUAACUGGUUUUUAAGUUCAAUUAAGAAAUUAGUUCAUGUUCA